UGGGGAAUAUUGGACAAUGGGGGCAACCCUGAUCCAGCCAUGCCGCGUGUGUGAAGAAGGCCUUUUGGUUGUAAAGCACUUUAAGCAGUGAAGAAGACUCCAUGGUUAAUACCCAUGGACGAUGACAUUAGCUGCAGAAUAAGCACCGGCUAACUCUGUGCCAGCAGCCGCUGUAAUACAGAGGGUGCAAGCGUUAAUCGGAAUUACUGGGCGUAAAGCGAGCGUAGGUGGCUUGAUAAGUCAGAUGUGAAAGCCCCGGGCUUAACCUGGGAACGGCAUCUGAUACUGUUAGGCUAGAGUAGGUGAGAGGAAGGUAGAAUUCCAGGUGUAGCGGUGAAAUGCGUAGAGAUCUGGAGGAAUACCGAUGGCGAAGGCAGCCUUCUGGCAUCAUACUGACACUGAGGUUCGAAAGCGUGGGUAGCAAACA
rnacentral:rRNA from 1 species